rnacentral:tRNA from 1 species
GGCGGUGUAGCUCAGCUGGCAGAGCAGCGGAAUCAUAAUCCGCGUGUCGCAGGUUCGACUCCUGCCACCGCCACCA